AGUACCCACCACACACUGGGGAGCCCCCUCUACUAGAAGCAGGGAGCAGCGUUGGACUUUUGGUACAGAGGCACUGGUAAGCGAUUACAGUAUGUCUGUAAUCGCUUACACAGGCACAUAAGUCACAAAGUCUCUCUUCCUCACACACGCACUUGGAUAAGAAACCUCACAUACCCCUAACCAGUUGUUGGUCCUAAAAAAAACCAGUAAUCUCAAAAUGAUAACUUAAAUUCUAACCAAGUCAGUACCCAC
rnacentral:lncRNA from 1 species